rnacentral:rRNA from 1 species
GACGUAGGGCGCGAGCGUUGUCCGGAUUUAUUGGGCGUAAAGAGCUCGUAGGCGGCUUGUCGCGUCGACUGUGAAAACCUGCAGCUUAACUGUGGGCGUGCGGUCGAUACGGGCAUCACUGGAGUUCGGCAGGGGAGACUGGAAUUCCUGGUGUAGCGGUGAAAUGCGCAGAUAUCUGGAGGAACACCGGUGGCGAAAGCGGCGCGCUGGACCUCUUCUGACGCUGAGGCGCGAAAGCCAGGGGAGCGAACGGG